rnacentral:sRNA from 1 species
GCGGCCGGAGGGUGCAGUAGCACGCGAUGAAAGGCCGUCGGGAGCAACAAAAAUAUAAACAAUUCAGCCUCAACAACCCUUAAGGGAGAAAUAAAAAAA